rnacentral:rRNA from 1 species
UACGUAGGGUGCGAGCGUUGUUCGGAAUUACUGGGCGUAAAGGGUUUGUAGGUGGCCGGCUAAGUCAGACGUGAAAUCCCUCAGCUUAACUGGGGAACUGCGUCUGAAACUGAUCGGCUCGAGUGCAGGAGAGGAACGCGGAAUUCCUGGUGUAGCGGUGAAAUGCGCAGAUAUCAGGAAGAACACCCGUGGCGAAGGCGGCUCUCUGGGACGGUACUGACGCUGAGACGCGAAAGCGUGGGGAGCGAACAGG